AUAUUGGGUUAAAAUCCCGGCUCGUGGAGCUGCCCGAGAGCUGUUCUCGCGAGAUUACGGCAGGAGGCUCCGGGUCGCUGGCGCUGGAGCUGUGAGCACUGGAGACUGAGCGGGCGCUGCAGCUGGAGCGAGCGGCCGGCGGCGUAGCUCCCAGAUAGCCCUGAGGCGCAGCGGGUGCAGGGGGAGCGCGGCGGGCGCAGCCUCGAGUCCCUGAGCGCCCUCCUUCUCUGCGCCGGACUUGCUCCCGACCUGCAGCGCGUCCCGCCGCCACAGCUGACAGGGGCCGCGCGGGGGAGUCUGCGGGGUCGCGGCAGCCACACCUGCGCGGGCGGCCAGCGCGGGGUUCCCGCCGCUCGGGCGUGCACAGAGGACCAGGGAGCGGGUGCAGGUGCGGGUGCAGGCAGGGGCCCCGCAGGGCCACCGCCUCGACCCGCGGCCGCCGCUGGAAAAUGUCUCAGGAGAGGCCCAAGUUCUACCGGCAGGAGCUGAACAAGACGAUCUGGGAGGUGCCCGAGCGUUACCAGAACCUGUCCCCGGUGGGCUCCGGCGCCUAUGGCUCCGUAUGUGCUGCCUUUGACACAAAAACUGGGUUGCGUGUGGCAGUGAAGAAGCUGUCCAGACCGUUUCAGUCCAUCAUUCACGCCAAAAGGACCUACCAAGAGCUUCGGUUGCUGAAACACAUGAAGCAUGAGAAUGUGAUUGGACUGUUGGACGUCUUCACACCUGCAAGGUCCCUGGAGGAAUUCAAUGACGUGUAUCUGGUGACCCAUCUCAUGGGGGCAGAUCUGAAUAACAUCGUGAAAUGUCAGAAGCUUACGGACGACCAUGUUCAGUUCCUCAUCUACCAGAUUCUUCGAGGUCUAAAGUAUAUACAUUCAGCUGACAUAAUCCACAGGGACCUCAAACCAAGUAACCUAGCUGUGAAUGAAGACUGUGAGCUGAAGAUUCUGGAUUUUGGACUAGCUCGACAUACAGAUGACGAAAUGACAGGCUACGUGGCCACCAGGUGGUACAGGGCUCCCGAGAUCAUGCUGAACUGGAUGCAUUACAACCAGACAGUGGACAUCUGGUCAGUGGGAUGCAUAAUGGCCGAGCUGUUGACCGGAAGGACGUUGUUUCCUGGUACAGACCAUAUUGAUCAGUUGAAGCUCAUUUUAAGACUCGUUGGAACCCCAGGGGCUGAGCUUUUGAAGAAAAUCUCCUCAGAGUCUGCAAGAAACUAUAUUCAGUCAUUGACCCAGAUGCCGAAGAUGAACUUUGCAAACGUAUUUAUUGGUGCCAAUCCCCUGGCUGUUGACCUGCUGGAGAAGAUGCUUGUGUUGGAUUCGGAUAAGAGAAUCACAGCGGCCCAAGCCCUGGCACACGCCUACUUUGCUCAGUACCACGAUCCCGAUGAUGAGCCAGUGGCUGAUCCCUACGAUCAAUCCUUUGAAAGCAGGGACCUCCUCAUAGAUGAAUGGAAAAAUGACGACUCUCUGGACCUUUGAGAUGCUUAUGUGUGGUCUGAUUUUGUGCACAGCCCUUCACAUCCGCUAGAGCUUUCAGGCCUGACCUACGAUGAAGUCAUCAGCUUUGUGCCACCACCCCUUGACCAAGAAGAGAUGGAGUCCUGAGCGCCUGGUCUGUGUCCUGUCGAGCCCACCUCACUGUGAGGGGAAGGCCUUUUCAUGGGAACUCUCCAAAUCUCAUUCAAGUGCCUCUUGUUGCAAAGAUUUCCUCCAUGGUGGAAGGGGUGCGUGUGUGUGCACGCGCAGCAUGCGUGUGUGUGUGUGUGUGUGUGUGUGCAUGUGCAUGUCUGUCUUCGUGGAAGGAUAGGAGCAUACCGAGAGCAGUUGUGAUCCCAGUGACAUUACAUGGCGUUACGGAUGCUCACAGCAGCCUCUCCUGACUCGGGCAGACAAGAGCUGCCAUCUUGUUAGGAAUGUGUCACAUGCGAAGGAAAAUCUCUCAAAGGCCCCCACCCCAGUUACGCUUUUGCCGCUCAGGCCUCUCCCGGGGGCCUGUACCUGGGAUUCUGUCCCCUGUGAAGGAAAGCCUCGUUGCCUUUCUGGUGUUGGCUGCACACCACAGUGCACAGUGAGGGCGCCCACUUUCCGGCCACUUCAGGUCUGCAGAGGUUCCCCCAGCCAUGUGUUCAGCCGAGAGGACCAGCCGGCUUCUGUGCUCGAGCCAGUGAUGGACUUGCUCAGUGUGGUUCUCAGAACUUGACGGAUGUUUGAAAUAUCCUGUAAAUAUGUCUGUGCCUUAAGAGGAGAGAAGUCAGUGUAGCCAGCUCCAAGACUGCAGCUGCUGAGCACUGAGCCAGGCAAGUAGCAGGGCCAUUGGGUGGCCACUGUGAGCCAGAAGUCGCUGAGCCGGAAGUCACCCGACAGCCUUUAGAGGUGGCCAUGUCUGCGCAUGCGUGGAUGUGCAUCCUUUGCCAACUGUUGCCGCGGAGGGCUCCUGAGUAUUGCCCUUGGAAUGCACGUACACGCACAGGCUCCUGCUGUCAGUGUGCACUCCCUGCGCUGUCUACUCCUACACCGUGAGGCUGUGUGCUGCACGCCUUUCUGUUUGACCACGCGCAGCUGCCGUCCUUUUCUCCCCAGGGUCCCCUAGGUUAAGCGAGCCUGCCUGGGAGGGUUUCUCCAGUCGAUCCAGCCCCAUGUCACCUCAGCUGGUGCUGGGGGGAAGGGAACUCUGCCUCUCCAGCCCCUGCACUGUUGUCGAACACAUUUGAUGUUCCAGGUGCUGUUGAUGUGAAAAAGGAGGGCUGCCUAGAUGGGUGGCGUUUUCAUUCUUGUCAUUGAAUUUUUCAGCAAACUUUCUGGGGAGCUAUCAUGAAGAUCGGGGCUUUGCCCAGAGAGAUUCCAAACUCUGGGAAGUAAGGUGUUAUCCUCACUCCCAGUGCUAAGAAAUGAUGAAAAUUAAAGUGGAAAAGUAAAAGCUUGUGAGGUCAGAAGUUCCUUUUGCUAUCUUCCUCGGAAUAAGGGUUUUUUGAGAAAGUCGCAGCGUGUCUUUUCCACUUCUCCAUGUCUUGUCCACCCCUCUAUGGAAAGGGUCUUCUUGGCAGCUUAACAUUGAUUUUUGGUUUUUUGAUCUUGGUUUGGGAAGAAAAAAAAUUUUCUACGUCACAGGUAUGUUUUGACUGUGUGAUUCCUUUUGACAAGAAGAAAAGGCAAAUUUACUAUUUUGUAUGUUCACCUUUGUAAAAAUGAAAUGUGCUCGGGUGGAGAAGAAUUGCUUUCAUGACUUUCUGAACUUCAUGCAUUUUGUGCUACAUGAGGGCUCAUAUAUUUAAAUUUUUGUGUUAAUAAAAAAGUGCAAAGCCAAUGCCAGAGCUGGCUGUGUGACAGAUCGUAUACUUAGGCCAAGGCAUCACCAUUCUCUAUUGUGCGCUCCAGAGGGACAGGGUUAGGACCUGAGCCCGAAGGCUGAGGGUACACCCCCUCACCUGGGACCCUGUCCCUUGAGGGACAGCAGCCGUGAUCCUCCCCAGACUCGGCCAGGUGACGUCAGCAGCCAUGCGCAGCGUGAGUGCUGGUGUGACUGCCUGUCGGGAUCCCGACCUGAAUGUCCUUCUAGAAAGGUCUCUGCACAUGGCCAAGGACACAGUAGGAAGUCGUUGGCCCUGGGAGCCUGGACUCUGAGCUGGAGCCAAGGAAGAGCGCCUUGGAUUCCGAGCAGGAGCUCCUUUCUCCUGAUUCUCUGAUAGGGAAUGACAGGGGCGGCGGGAAACUGAUAUUUUAUUUGUAUUAAUGAACCAGGCUGUAAUCAGUUACGCCAUAUAGGAUGUCAGACAAUACCACUGUUUAAAAUAAAGCCUAUUUUUCAAAUUCAGUGAGUCCCUCAAAUUUGUUAUUUUUUUUUCUUGAUUGUUUUAAUUUAACCCACAAUAUGGCACUGUAUCAGUAUUUUCCAACUGUGACCUGGCAAAUUCUACUAUUCCUAAAAUUUAGAAAACAUGUAUAGAGCUUUUAGCUAUGUGUUUUUGGUGAGUACAGUCUGGGCCUUUGAAGCAGCUGAGUAAAGCAGAAAACAGACAAGCCAGGUAUUAAGAAGCAGGGUUCCUACACUUGGCUAUGAGCGGGGCCCAGGCAGGGUUAGACAUGGCCCACCACCUGUCUUUGUGGAGCCUGCUGAAAAAGAAUUUUUACAUUUUUCAAUGGUUGAAAGAUUGAAAAGGAAGAGUAUUUUUUGUAGCAUGUGAAAAAUAAUGUAACAUUAAAAUCUUAGUGUCCAUCAAUAAAGUUUUAUUAGAACUUAAUUA